UACGUAUGGGGCUAGCGUUAUCCGGAAUUACUGGGCGUAAAGGGUGCGUAGGCGGUCUUUCAAGCCAGAAGUGAAAGGCUACGGCUCAACCGUAGUAAGCUUUUGGAACUGUAAGACUUGAGUGCAGGAGAGGAGAGUGGAAUUCCUAGUGUAGCGGUGAAAUGCGUAGAGAUAUGGAGGAACACCAGUGGCGAAGGCGGCUUCCUGGUCUGUAACUGACACUGAGGCGCGAAAGCGUGGGGAGCAAACAGGAUUAGAUACCCCCGUAGUCCCUGA
rnacentral:rRNA from 1 species